UACGUAGGGGGCUAGCGUUGUUCGGAUUUAUUGGGCGUAAAGAGCGUGUAGGCGGCUCGAUAAGUCUGCUGUGAAAGUCCAGGGCUCAACCCUGGAAGGCCGGUGGAAACUGUCGGGCUAGAGUCCGGAAGAGGCGAGUGGAAUUCCCGGUGUAGCGGUGAAAUGCGCAGAUAUCGGGAGGAACACCAAUGGCGAAGGCAGCUCGCUGGGACGGUACUGACGCUGAGACGCGAAAGCGUGGGGAGCAAACAGG
rnacentral:rRNA from 1 species